ensembl:lncRNA
GGGGGGGAGCUCUUAUGUUACGUCCUUUGAUGCUUUCGGUGACCUUGAAGCGUCCCUGUGCUGAUGGUUGGAGAACAGCUAUGUUCCACGUGAUCUGGUUUUACUCCUGCAGUUUGAUUCUGUCCAAGAAGGGAGUAAUGGUGCUUUUUCUUAAACUACAACCAUAACUUGUUCAUCAUUCUAUUUGCCAGGAGUCCAGUUGUAGCUCUCUCUCUCUUUGUCUCGCUCUCGCUUUCUCUCUUCUCCCCCCGAUAGAUUAUUCCAUAGUUGUCAUUCAUUUUUGUAAAUAGCCUAUAAGUUAAGAUGUAUCUUCUCAAUGUUCGAUAUAGAUAUAUGUAAAGAAUAUGAUAUCUUAUAUGUUUAAAGACAAAAAGCACUUUGUUCCAAAAAAGAAAAAAACAAAAGCAUUUUUUUUUCCUUCCAUUUGCUGCUACGAGGCCUGGGGUGAAUGCUGCGCUGUACUUGAUUAUUACUUGCUAGAAUAAGAUACGGUCCAGCCCGGGGUAAGGUCUACUUCCUGCCCCGGUGUGGGCUAUUUCCUGUCCAGGUGGAUCUGUGGCCUGACUAGUCGAUGGGUCUGUUUGAAGCCAUGUGAUUACAUGAGGUAUUGUAUGAUAGCACAUUGUUGUGUGGCUUUAGGAUCCUCUGUCUUGACCCUUUCUCCCUCUUCUUCUGCGGUCGUGUGGUGCCUGGUUGAGGACAGCCUGGAAGGCACGUUGGCGUUGUGAGCUGUGGAGUUCGGUGUGACUUCCAGGGCCCUUACAAUGUUUGAGAGGUCAGCCUCCCGUGGUAUCAUGACUCAUUUGCCUUCAGUAGAGGUUUCCUAUGGAAAAGACACUGCUUUGGCUUCCUCUUCAGGGUGAUGUACAGUGUAGACAUUUCUCCAGAGAGCUAUAUUGUUAUCAUUUAUAAACUGAUUUCUACUUGUGACUUAACGAGGCGGAGAGUAGCCCAGGGCCGGUGGGGAUAACCCAUGAAAAGAGCUUCUUCCCGGCGGCCCUGGGGGAGAAAAUUAAAGUUCCUAUAUCACUGUACUGUAUGGAAAGCCAAUUACAAAUGGAGACUCAAUCCGGACACUUAUUGCCUUCUUAAAUAACCUAUUCACACACACAGAACAAAAUAAAAUAGCGGCGUUGUCAGCGACACAGGGGCCCUGCCCCGGGCUGGUGUCGUCCCGCUGCAAACUGUCAACUCCAACCGAUCAGUGAGGGCCUCAUUGGCUUCAACAAACACAACCCAGGUAGCAGGAGCAGGAGGAAUACAUUGGGACUAAUGGAUUCAAAUACUUCACCUCCUCGGGGGGCUUUCUUUAUACUUAACAGGCACUUUAAACAUUUGAGGCAUAUUCUCAGCUAAAGUUUUAUUUUGUACCUCCGUCUGGUGAGAGGCCGCCAUAGGCCCUUGUUAUUGUUGUUGUUGUUGUCGUUGUUGUUGUGUUAUAGUUGGAGCCAGCCGAUAGGGGGGGGGGGGGAGAGGGGGACCUGAGAGGGGGUUUGUUCAGGGUCUCGGGCUGGUUCUAGAGGGGGUGCUCACAGGUUUCUACAUUUGACGUGAUGGUGCAAGCUGUGCAACUUUACCACAAACCACAAGACUCUGUGGCAUUUGAACAGUCGAGGGUAGGAGUGAUAUUCUGCGCCAGUAAAAUUGUUCCCUGUGUUCCUUAUUUUUUUCUCAAACUAUGAUACCUAAAGAGUCUUUAAUUAAGCUAAUUCAUUGUGUAAAGUUUGUGCUACUCUUGUCCAAUAAAAGCUCAAGUGAUUACAUCCAUAUAGCUCUUCUUCAGCAGAUCAGGGGUACAUUGUUCUUCUGCUCCAAAUGGUGUAAUAUGACAUAUGAAAUCAAAAGAAAAUAUAUUUGUGUAUUCAAGUUAAGUCGCCAUUGUUUCCUCUGUACAAGAAAUAUUGCAUACGUGUGUGUGUGUUCAGGAUUCUCAAUGUAGAUCAAUAAGGUGCAGUGCUCUUUACACAAACAGAAAGAGGGCCAACUGACUCAAGUGGAGUCAACUGAUUUUCACUGCUGUGGAAUGAGCUUUUUUCUAGACAACAUACAAUCUGUUCCUUUUGAAGGUUUGGACUCUGAUUUGAGGUUCAAUUCAACUUGUGUUUGCCUUGAUGACGCUGAUUACGUGUGAAUACAUUCUAUUCUAUUUGAAAUUGCAAUCCAUUCAUACUAAACAGCCGUAAUGAUUGGCAGUAAAUGUUUCUAGGCAACGGGACAGAACCCAGUUGGACCAAUCAAACGACAGCUUCUUGCUUUAUCCAAGAUGGAAUUGUGUUUGUGUUUAUUAUUAACAGUUAUUUUUCUGUGUGGUUUUGUUUUGCGACUCGAGAUUGAGAUUGGAUUUCAGUGUCCCUAAUCAAAUUAUCUCACUUAUAAGUCAGUAUAUCAACAAUCCACAACACCUUGAAGCAAGGACUUAAUUCAAAGCAUUAUUGAUUAAUAACCAGAAAUAUAAACAGGAUAGGAGGUGUUGGCAUUAUGGAUAUAAAUAAAAACAAUCCUAUUUAUUACAAAUUACUUACAAAAAAAUAAUAAUUCUCUGCUGGUUAUAUCAAAUCUCGGAGUGUGUAUUUAAGAUAGUUUAGAUUAUUUAUUUUUUCGAUUUGUCUUGUUCUUGCUGGUGUAGUCUGCCCUUGUUGCCUGUAGAGGUCCUCAGUGUAGAGGACAGUUCUGUGCACCUUGUUCCUUAUGUGUUAAAUACAUUGUUGUUUCUAUAAGGAGAAUGCCUUUGGAAAGAUAACUUUGCAUGCAUUGUCUGUGUUAAGGCCCAUGUUACAGGAAAUGUGUUGCUUUCCAGACCAUAUGUGGACACUAGUAACACAGCUUUCAUGCCCAACACAGAAACUGCAAGUUUUCUCUCUUCUCUUUCCAAGAAGUCUGUACAUGCAUCUGAUACUGAGGACAAGGUUACCAAGUAGUUUGAAUAGGGUUUCUCUGCAUAAUGCAGCUACCAUAUACAUAUAUCACGUUUAAUUUCCAGAUCAUAGCAGGUCAACAGACACACCUUCCAUUAUUUGUAUUAAUUGUUUUAUUAUUUACAUAAUCUCAAAAAGAAAAAAUAAUCAAGGUAAUUUAAUUUAGAAUAUGAUACCUGCUGAACCAGGUGCCUUACUCAAACAAAUGAGAACACAAAGUUAAUCUGAACGGUCGUCUGGAAGGGCGCCACCUUCAGAGACUCGACCAACCGAACACCAAAUCCCUCCUCGGGGACAUCCCCUGCUCAGAUACACAUUUCUGAUUGUUUCUGCUUUACUGAUUGGACUCAAUUGAUAUGACUGGCCUUGAGCCACAUAUAAACUAUUGCAUACCAUGGCCCUAUGGUUUGAGUUAAGUGUAGGGCUACUCUAAAACGAAGAAAUUAUACACAUUCUUCUGAUUAAACUAUUAUUGGUUUAGCGAUGUGUACUUUUUGUUGUAAUUAUAAUAACAAUCUUUGAGGUUUCCAGUAUUAAUUAAGCACAUAAUGGUAAAAUAAAACUGUCUCAAGUCAAUAUUGAAUCUGGAAUCCUGGUUCUAAUAAACCUUCUCUGCCCACUAGGCCCCACUGAGUAUGUAUUGGAUGCAGCCUGUUGCUGGUGCGUUUCAUGGAGAGAGGAGCGCCUAGGACUGAUGGAAGUGACUUUACUGACCAAGGCUUUUCUCGCCUCUUUCUAUGGCUUCCAAUACAAUGUGCAGUGCUGCGGCCAAUUGUGUACAUUCUAAAGAAAGAAUAUGAAAGGAAAAACGAAAUUACCUUUUAAAACAAAAAAAAAAAAGGUUUUAAAUGACCUUAAGUUAGGAAGCUGUUGUAAAAGUGCCAGAUCCUCCUUCAGAGUUCGCUGUUGGUACGGAGCCGUGGGCUGAAGCGAGGCUAACUGUGGUGCUAAUGUAACGGUUGGGUGCUAACAUGCUAAUACAGCUGCAGUAGCUAUGGCUAUAUUAUUAGAGGACUCGGGCGUCUCCCCUCCAGCCCCCUGCUGGCUGCUCACACGACCCGUGUCUUUAGUGCUGCUUGGCUCAUGAUUGUAGACAGGCCUUCCUGGACAAGAGACACACCAGGAUGGGGACUGGUGUGCGUCAAAUGUUCCUGUUGAAGAUUUUCUUUAACAAACGCACAUCUUAUUCAAUUGAAUUCUGUUGGCAGGCUGAAAAACAGUGAUUUAUAUUUGUGGUCAGAGAUGCAGUCAGGAGUCUGGAUCGUUGUAUCCCCAUAAGGACGCUGUCCCAAAAUAUUAAUAUUGUUUAUAUUUAUGUUGAUGUUGCACUUCUUUUUUUAUAUUUCCAAGACGUAUUGUGUAUACCUUAUUAAUGUCGUGUUUUGUGUAUUGCUAGGUGAGAUCUCUCAGAAGGCCAGAGUUGAUGGCUGUUAUACAAACAAACAGUUUGUAACGUGUGAACCAGUGGCUUCAUGUCAGACAGUGACUAGAGAAAACAGGUCUAUGGUGCAAAAUUGGCAAACCUUGUGAAACUUUGGCAUUUAGUCUAUUGGCCUCUGGAGCCACAUAGUGGCGCUGUUUCUCGCUUCAGCCUGCCUGAGCACAUCGGGGAACAUUGCAACAAGUUAGUGCCGUGGCCAGAAAAGUGGUUUUGUAUUGGGUUAAGGCUGCCUCCAUGGGGACAUGGACUUGCAGUGGGCCUGCUUAGGGAGCUCCAGCAGUCAGCCAGUGUUCACUUAAGGCUGGUGGGCAGAGACCCCUUACCCCCCACUCCCACCACGCAAGGCAUCAUGGAGUUUUUAAUAUCCUCUUCUGCAGACAGAUGCAAUAUGCAUCCAUAAAUGACCUUCCCGGAGCAAAAGGCCUCUUCUAUAUCCACGCACGUCCAACUCAUUCACCACACUCUGCAAGUAUUUACAUUUACUUGCAGACUUUUCCAAAAUGCAUGGAACAGGAGACUGGAAACAGGCAAACAAAUAACUAUCCCUCUGGUAAGGUUUUGUUUCUUUUGGAAAAACAUUGAACAUGAAGAAGAAAGGAAAUGUAUUGAAACAGGAGGUGACCAUGUGAGCCGUGCUGUUGAAGCUUCUGUGUGGUAGCCUUGUGGAGGGGACCAGAGGCAUGGACCCGUCCACAGCCCUAGGUCUUUCCUCUGUCUGUGUAGGACGACUGUACUUCAUUGCUAAGUGCUCUGUAAUAGAUCUCUUGGUGACAAUAGUAUCAUUAUUAUUAUUAUACUUUCACAAGGAAAUAAAACCUGCAGGACCUCCUGCUGAAACGUAAACUAACGCAAUCCUCUCUUUAGCGACAACGUCUAUAUUUGUAGUUCACAAUAUAUGCCUGUUCAGAUAACUAUAUUGACAGUUGCUAUAUUUAUGUUGUGUGAUAAAUGUUGUGCUGGGUUUGUACUUUUGUUCUAACUAUAAACUUAGUUUUGGUUCUGUUUGUUCUUCCUUUGUAAGGCACUGCGUGUUAGGAAGCGCAUGGGGAGUUUGGAGAGGGUUAGGUCAUUGUAUUGGCUGUGACCAGAGCCUCCAGCUCUGGUGUCUGGCUGACUUUAAGGGCCCAGGACAUGUCGUGUUAAUGUGCCUCUUUUGUUUCUUUCACUCUCCAUUUUAUUUCUUUUUAUUAAUCUUGAAUUGAUUUAUGUCUUUUCUAUGUCGUACCAGCCAGGAGUUGGUACCACUGCUUGUAACACCCUAGUCCCAAAAUGUUCAUUGUUUUUAAUAUCAAAGUAAUAAAUAUAUUACAAACCACAA